rnacentral:rRNA from 1 species
AGUGAACGCUGGCGGUAGGCCUAACACAUGCAAGUCGAACGGCAGCACAGUAAGAGCUUGCUCUUACGGGUGGCGAGUGGCGGACGAGUGAGGAAUACAUCGGAAUCUACUUUUUCGUGGGGGAUAACGUAGGGAAACUUACGCUAAUACCGCAUACGACCUACGGGUGAAAGCAGGGGAUCUUCGGACCUUGCGCGAUUGAAUGAGCCGAUGUCGGAUUAGCUAGUUGGCGGGGUAAAGGCCCACCAAGGCGACGAUCCGUAGCUGGUCUGAGAGGAUGACCAGCCAAACUGGAACUGAGACACGUUCCAGCCUCCUACGGGAGGAAGCGUUGGGGAAUAUUGAACAAUGGGGGCAAGCCUGAUCCAGCCAUACCGCGUGGUGAAGAAGGCCUUCGGGUUGUAAAGCCCUUUUGUUGGGAAAGAAAAGCAGCAGGUUAAUACCCCGCUGUUCUGACGGUACCCAAAGAAUAAGCACCGGCUAACUUCGUG